GGGCUAUCAUGCAAGUCGAGCGAACAGACGAGGAGCUUGCUCCUCUGACGUUAGCGGCGGACGGGUGAGUAACACGUGGAUAACCUACCUAUAAGACUGGGAUAACUUCGGGAAACCGGAGCUAAUACCGGAUAAUAUAUUGAACCGCAUGGUUCAAUAGUGAAAGACGGUUUUGCUGUCACUUAUAGAUGGAUCCGCGCCGCAUUAGCUAGUUGGUAAGGUAACGGCUUACCAAGGCAACGAUGCGUAGCCGACCUGAGAGGGUGAUCGGCCACACUGGAACUGAGACACGGUCCAGACUCCUACGGGAGGCAGCAGUAGGGAAUCUUCCGCAAUGGGCGAAAGCCUGACGGAGCAACGCCGCGUGAGUGAUGAAGGUCUUCGGAUCGUAAAACUCUGUUAUUAGGGAAGAACAAAUGUGUAAGUAACUAUGCACGUCUUGACGGUACCUAAUCAGAAAGCCACGGCUAACUACGUGCCAGCAGCC
rnacentral:rRNA from 1 species